rnacentral:rRNA from 1 species
AUUGAACGCUGGCGGCAGGCUUAACACAUGCAAGUCGAGCGGGGUGAUGGUGCUUGCACUAUCACUUAGCGGCGGACGGGUGAGUAAUGCUUAGGAAUCUGCCUAUUAGUGGGGGACAACAUCUCGAAAGGGAUGCUAAUACCGCAUACGUCCUACGGGAGAAAGCAGGGGAUCACUUGUGACCUUGCGCUAAUAGAUGAGCCUAAGUCGGAUUAGCUAGUGGGUGGGGUAAAGGCCUACAAAGGCGACGAUCUGUAGCGGGUCUGAGGGGAUGAUCCGCCACACUGGGACUGAGACACGGCCCAGACUCCUACGGGAGGCAGCAGUGGGGAAUAUUGGACAAUGGGGGGAACCCUGAUCCAGCCAUGCCGCGUGUGUGAAGAAGGCCUUAUGGUUGUAAAGCACUUUAAGCGAGGAGGAGGCUCUUUUGGUUAAUACCCAAGAUGAGUGGACGUUACUCGCAGAAUAAGCACCGGCUAACUCUGUGCCAGCCGCCGCAUAA